GCAAACUUGGUCAUUUAGAGGAAGUAAAAGUCGUAACAAGGUUUCCGUAGGUGAACCUGCGGAAGGAUCAUUAUUGAGAAAGGGUCUUAAUAGGCCCCAUCUCCAACCCUUGUGACUAAUAUUCCAAGUUGCUUUGGCAGGCUGCCCCGUGUGGGCUGUUGGGGAUGGUUGAUCACACUACUAGCCUCAUACCUGCCAGGAGCCUUCAAAAACUCUCAUCGAAUGGUAUUAUCUGAGUAUAAGAAUAAUAAAAACUUUCAACAACGGAUCUCUUGGCUCUGGCAUCGAUGAAGAACGCAGC
rnacentral:misc_RNA from 1 species